rnacentral:rRNA from 1 species
GAUGAACGCUGGCGGCGUGCCUAAUACAUGCAAGUCGAGCGAACGGACGAGAAGCUUGCUUUUCUGAUGUUAGCGGCGGACGGGUGAGUAACACGUGGAUACCCUACUUUUAAGACUGGGAUAACUUCGGGAAACCGGAGCUAAUACGGGAUAAUAUUUUGAACCACAUGGUUCAAAAGUGAAAGACGGUCUUGCUGUCACUUCUAGAUGGUUCCGCGCUGCAUUGGCUGGUUGGUAAGUGAACGGCUUACCAAGGCAAGGAUGCAUAGCCGACCUGAGAGGGGGAUAGGCCGCACUGGAACUGAGACACGGUCCAGACGCCUGAGGGAGGCAGCAGUAGGGAAUCUGCCGCAAUGGGCGAAAGCCUGACGGAGCAACGCCGCGUGAGUGAUGAAGGUCUUCGGAUCGUAAAACUCUGUUAUUAGGGAAGAACAUAUGUGUAAGUAACUGUGCACAUCUUGACGGUACCUAAUCAGAAAGCCACGGCUAACUACGUG